rnacentral:rRNA from 1 species
UACGUAGGGUGCAAGCGUUGUCCGGAAUUAUUGGGCGUAAAGAGCUCGUAGGCGGUCUGUCGCGUCGGCUGUGAAAACCCGAGGCUCAACCUCGGGCCUGCAGUGGGUACGGGCAGACUAGAGUACUGCAGGGGAGACUGGAAUUCCUGGUGUAGCGGUGGAAUGCGCAGAUAUCAGGAGGAACACCGGUGGCGAAGGCGGGUCUCUGGGCAGUAACUGACGCUGGAGGAGCGAAAGCGUGGGGAGCGAACAGG